AUCUGUUAGGACUCCGGGUGAGAAGCCCACAGCCUGAAGGCUUUCACUACCCACCUGAGUCUCUCUCCUGGUGUUUCUGUGGCUGUGAAGAAAUGCCAAGGAAAACAGGGCUGUCCUGGAUCCUGGAGUUUUGCGAGCUGGAAGUUCAAGAUCUACAUGCCAGCAGUACCGUGUCUGGAGAGGAUGCUCCCGGUUGACAGAUGGCUGCCUUCUCACUGUGUCACCAGAUUUUCUCAAAGAACACACAUUCAUUUGGCAAUGCAAAAAUUAAAAAGAAAAAAAAUUCUUUUGAGCCGAGUUUAUGUUGCCCAGGCUGACCUUGAAUUCCUGGAUUCCAGCCGUGCUCCCACCUCAGCCUGCUGAGUAGGUGGGACUACAGGCAUGAGCCCCGCACAGCCCCGCAGAGAACAUCUUUUGCUGGAAGACUGUGGUGGAGGACAUCUCUGUGCAAGUGAUCCCUCGUGGCGUAAGAGGCGAGCCUUUAGCAGCCUGAAGCACCACACCUCUGUCCUGGUGACUGAGCUGCCACCGAGACCCCUCCGUCCCUGCCCUGAGCAGCAGGACAAAGGGGCAGCGCAUGGCGACCUUGUGAGCUGAAUGCAUGCCGAGUGGAUCUAAUAUUCGAGUCUUGCUGCUCUUUCUCGUAUCUCUUCUAUUUUGGAGUUUUAGUCAAGGUUUCUAGUUUUCCAUGCUCUGUGUGCUCUUCCUGUCUCUUUGAGGCCACAGAUCCUACCCUGAAUGUGCGCAGCUCAGCUUUCCUGAGCACUGGCAGGUUUCCCUGCGGCUCUCCAUCUUCUUGGCAGCAUGCUCUGUGUACUUGGAAUCAGUCACAGCAGCGACUGGACAACCGUCCAGAAUCUUUUGGCAUGGGACAUGCAAAUAAUUGCUUGUAUUUUCUACCAAAACUAAAGGAUAGGAAUAAAAUUGAACACUGUGA